rnacentral:rRNA from 1 species
GAAAAGAAACCAACAGGGAUUCCCCUAGUAACGGUGAGUGAAGCGGGAAGAGCUCAAAUUUGAAAUCGUGUCCGGGUGACCGGGUCACGAGUUGUAAUUUGAUGAGGUAAGCUUGGUGGGCGCCUGGGUCAAAAUCCUUUGGAAAAGGGUAUCAUAGAGGGUGACAAUCCCGUCUGUGACUCAGUCAGCGGUCCAUCGUGUAAGCUACCUUCAAAGAGUCGGGUUGUUUGGGAAUGCAGCCCUAAGCUGGUGGUAAAUUCCAUCUAGAGCUAAAUAUUCGUGAGAGACCGGUAGCGAACAAGUACCGUGAGGGAAAGUUGAAAAGCACUCUGGAGAGAGAGUCAAACAGCACGUGAAAUUGUUAACAGGGAAACGUUGGGCCCCAGUACGCGCCUCGCGUAAAAUCAACCAUCCCUUCCCCGAGGGUACCCGGUCCGGGUGGAUGAGCCUUAACGGGCCAUUGCUCGGUCGGUGCCCGAGGGGGGUGGUGCACUUUUGCGUGGGCGGGUCAACGUCAGUUAGGGCCGCCGGAGAAUCCUGGGGGGAAUGUUGGCGAAGGCAACGGACCCACUUACAGCCCCCCUUGAACGCGGUGACCUUGACUGAGGAGUCGCGACCCGGGACCGCCCGCCGGUACCCUCCCUCGUCCCCGGGGUAAGACAGCUUGCUGACUUGCCCUGGUCAGGCGGGGGACGGUGCCGGGGACACCCGGCCACGGACGUGCGAAUG